UUUCUAAUGCAGCAAUGAAGAGAGUUGAACCUUCUUCAGCAUUUCAGAACCAGACAGAACUCAUUUAUGAAAGUCCCUCUAUUUUGACAAACUUGGUUUUGCUUUUGGAGGCUGAGGCUGUCCGCAGAAUGAGAGCAAGUCAGAGACCAGAAAGACUUCAAGUGGGUGACAGCAGAAAGGGCACUUGCAGUCUCGUUGAUUCUCUCUGCAACCAUCCUAAAAAGUUUGUAUCCUGCUUCUCUAUGGCAAGCUAACCACCAGGCUGAAUUUUCAACAUUAAGCAAGCAGUUGCUGACUCUGCAACAAAGGACAGAUCAUCCAUCAACCUUUCCAAUCAUCCUGCUGCAUAAUCCAGAAGAUCACAAAGUCGCUCUAACCACAAUAUUACCUGCAUCCUCAAUGUGACGAAAAUUAAAAUACUCUGACUGACACUUUGAUGAAAGACUUCAAGCAGCACAAGAGAGGAGCUGCCUUCUGCAAUUGGCAUCUGUUUACGUACUGAACAGAAGC